GCCGCGUGCGCGAUGAAGGCCUUCGGGUUGUAAAGCGCUUUUCGGGGAGAUGAGGAAGGACAGUAUCCCCGGAAUAAGUCUCGGCUAACUACGUGCCAGCAGCCGCGGUAAUAAUCACUAGUGAAUUC
rnacentral:rRNA from 1 species